CCCUUCGAUGUUCUGGGCCGCACGCGCGCUACACUGAUGCAUUCAACAAGCCUAGCCUUGACCGAGAGGUCCGGGUAAUCUUUGAAACUGCAUCGUGAUGGGGCUAGAUUAUUGCAAUUAUUAAUCUUCAACGAGGAAUGCCUAGUAAGCGUGAUUCAUCAAAUCGCGUUGAUUACGUCCCUGCCCUUUGUACACACCGCCCGUCGCUCCUACCGAUUGAAUGUGUUGGUGAGGAGCUCGGAUUGGCAGCAGUUGGUGGUUCGCCACCGGCUAUUGCUGAGAAGUCCUCCAAACCGCCCCAUUUAGAGGAAGGAGAAGUCGUAACA
rnacentral:rRNA from 1 species